GGGGAAGGGUAGCUUGCUACCUGACCUAGCGGCGGACGGGUGAGUAAUGCUUAGGAAUCUGCCUAUUAGUGGGGGACAACAUUCCGAAAGGAAUGCUAAUACCGCAUACGCCCUACGGGGGAAAGCAGGGGAUCUUCGGACCUUGCGCUAAUAGAUGAGCCUAAGUCAGAUUAGCUAGUUGGUGGGGUAAAGGCCUACCAAGGCGACGAUCUGUAGCGGGUCUGAGAGGAUGAUCCCCCACACUGGGACUGAGACACGGCCCAGACUCCUACGGGAGGCAGCAGUGGGGAAUAUUGGACAAUGGGCGAAAGCCUGAUCCAGCCAUGCCCCGUGUGUGAAGAAAGCCUUUUGGUUGUAAAGCACUUUAAGCCAGGAGGAGGCUACUGAGAUUAAUACUCUUGGAUAGUGGACGUUACUCCCAAAAUAAGCCCCGGCUAACUCUUGGCCACCAGCCCCGGGAAUACACAAGGGGGCGAGCGGUAAUCCGGAUUUACCUGGGC
rnacentral:rRNA from 1 species